GCGUCGGUCUCAUGAGCCGAAGGACACGGCUUCGAAUCCCGUAUG
rnacentral:tRNA from 1 species